rnacentral:rRNA from 1 species
AUGAACGCUAGCUACAGGCUUAACACAUGCAAGUCGAGGGGCAGCAUGGUCUUAGCUUGCUAAGGCCGAUGGCGACCGGCGCACGGGUGAGUAACACGUAUCCAACCUGCCGUCUACUCUUGGACAGCCUUCUGAAAGGAAGAUUAAUACAAGAUGGCAUCAUGAGUCCGCAUGUUCACAUGAUUAAAGGUAUUCCGGUAGACGAUGGGGAUGCGUUCCAUUAGAUAGUAGGCGGGGUAACGGCCCACCUAGUCUUCGAUGGAUAGGGGUUCUGAGAGGAAGGUCCCCCACAUUGGAACUGAGACACGGUCCAAACUCCUACGGGAGGCAGCAGUGAGGAAUAUUGGUCAAUGGGCGAGAGCCUGAACCAGCCAAGUAGCGUGAAGGAUGACUGCCCUAUGGGUUGUAAACUUCUUUUAUAAAGGAAUAAAGUCGGGUAUGGAUACCCGUUUGCAUGUACUUUAUGAAUAAGGAUCGGCUAACUCCGUGCCAGCAGCCGCGGUAAUACGGAGGAUCCGAGCGUUAUCCGGAUUUAUUGGGUUUAAAGGGAGCGUAGAUGGAUGUUUAAGUCAGUUGUGAAAGUUUGCGGCUCAACCGUAAAAUUGCAGUUGAUACUGGAUAUCUUGAGUGCAGUUGAGGCAGGCGGAAUUCGUGGUGUAGCGGUGAAAUGCUUAGAUAUCACGAAGAACUCCGAUUGCGAAGGCAGCCUGCUAAGCUGCAACUGACAUUGAGGCUCGAAAGUGUGGGUAUCAAACAGGAUUAGAUACCCUGGUAGUCCACACGGUAAACGAUGAAUACUCGCUGUUUGCGAUAUACAGCAAGCGGCCAAGCGAAAGCGUUAAGUAUUCCACCUGGGGAGUACGCCGGCAACGGUGAAACUCAAAGGAAUUGACGGGGGCCCGCACAAGCGGAGGAACAUGUGGUUUAAUUCGAUGAUACGCGAGGAACCUUACCCGGGCUUAAAUUGCAGAUGAAUUACGGUGAAAGCCGUAAGCCGCAAGGCAUCUGUGAAGGUGCUGCAUGGUUGUCGUCAGCUCGUGUCGUGAGGUGUCGGCUUAAGUGCCAUAACGAGCGCAACCCUUGUUGUCAGUUACUAACAGGUUCCGCUGAGGACUCUGACAAGACUGCCAUCGUAAGAUGUGAGGAAGGUGGGGAUGACGUCAAAUCAGCACGGCCCUUACGUCCGGGGCUACACACGUGUUACAAUGGGGGGUACAGAGGGCCGCUACCACGCGAGUGGAUGCCAAUCCCCAAAACCUCUCUCAGUUCGGACUGGAGUCUGCAACCCGACUCCACGAAGCUGGAUUCGCUAGUAAUCGCGCAUCAGCCACGGCGCGGUGAAUACGUUCCCGGGCCUUGUACACACCGCCCGUCAAGCCAUGGGAGCCGGGGGUACCUGAAGUGCGUAACCGCGAGGAGCGCCCUAGGGUAAAACUGGUGACUGGGGCU